rnacentral:rRNA from 1 species
GCUAAACUAAAAUACCAGGGUAUUACGAACAUCGUUUAAAACCCAAAGAGCCUGGCGGCCUUCAACAGUACUAGGGGAACCUGUGUGGUAAUCGACACUCCACGUUAAUAACUAACCUUCCUUUGAAAAAUAUUCAGCCUGUAUACCUCCGCCUUAGCUCACCUUUAAGAGACUUAUAGUGAGCAAGAAGUGAAUUCCACCAAAUGGCAGGUCAAGGUGCAGCUCAUGGGAAGGGGCAUCAUGGGUGACAAUUCGAUAAAAGAACAAUGGAUUUCCUCCGGAAACGGAGGAAUAAAAAUGGACUUAGAAGUAAGGGGUCCUUUAGAAAAGACCCCUGAAAUACUCCCUAGAAGGUGCACACAUCGCCCGUCACUCUCGGAUCCCG